rnacentral:misc_RNA from 1 species
AUAUAGAGCCAGCAGUCUGACUCGGAGCUCAGUUUGAUCGUUCGGUCCGACCAGUCGACUUACGCACUAUUAUCAAUACACGUAGCAGAUAAGACAACACAACCGCAGACAUGUGGACAAAGAACUUGAUGGUCGCGCUGGCGCUCUGCGUCGGCUUGACAAUGGCAGACAAGCCAGUGAGCAGCGCCUUAAAAGUCGUCGCCGACGGCAAUGCACUCUUCAACGUCGAAUUGUUCAAGAAAAUCGCGGCUGCAAAGCCCGGUGAGAACAUCAUCAGCUCGCCGCUGAGCGCCCACACCGUCCUGGCCAUGGCCGCCUACGGAGCCAAGAAGAACACCGCCGCCGAGAUGCAGAAAGGCCUUCAUCUGGCCAGCGACGAAGUGAUCGGCCGCCAGGGCUACCAGAACCUCAUCGAGCACCUCAACAGCGUCAACAACGUCACCCUCGAGCUCGCCAACAAGAUCUACGUGAACGAUCAGGUGCCACUCAAGGACAGCUACCGCCAAUUGGCCGCCACCAACUUCUACUCUGACGCCUCGCCCCUGAACGUUGCCAAGCCCAAGGAGGCCGCCGCCGAGAUCAACCAGUGGGUCAAAGACAAAACUCACAAUAAAAUUGACGGAAUAAUCCAACCCGACGCCAUCAACCACAAUCUCGCCAUGGUACUCCUCAACGCCGUCUACUUCAAGGGCGCCUGGGGCAAAGCCUUCAAGAAGGAGCUAACCAAGCCCAUGGUCUUCAACGUCGACGCUCAGACCCAGAAACACGUCGAUACCAUGUCCAUCACCAGCACUUUCCAUUACGGCGAGCUACCCGAUCUCAAGGCCAAAUUCAUCGAACUCCCGUACCAAAACAAGAACGUAAAGAUGGUCAUCAUCGUGCCCGACGAGAUCGACGGUCUUAAGGACGUGAUCAACAAUUUGGAGCACUUCAAUGCGAGUCGCCUGGCAAAGAGCGGUUACGAUCGGGAGGUUCAUCUGUACCUGCCCAAAUUCAAAAUCAAUACCAAGAUCGAUUUGAACGAUCCACUGAAGGCCUUGGGCAUGGAAGACAUGUUCUCUCCCACUGCCGAUUUCAGCGGCAUGACCGAUAAACCAGUUUACGUAUCCAAAGUAACGCAAAAAGCCUUCAUCGAAGUCAACGAGGAGGGCAGCGAAGCAGCUGCGGUUACCGGUGUGGGUGUAUUCUUGUUUUCGUUACCGUUACCCCCACAGAUUAUGCGGGUCGAUAGACCAUUUUUGUUCAGAAUUGUGGAUGAAUCUACCCCAACGACGAUCUUUAUGGGACAGAUUAACGUUCCUCAAUGAUGACAUCACAUAAUCCACUCGCUACUAUUUUAAUCUCGAUUUUAUUAAACGAAUAAACAGCAGUACGUACCAGUGAUCCUUAUGCCUGCUAGCGCACAUUUCAACCCUCCAACGCCAACUCUAAAAGUAGAUAGGCCAUUCUUUUUCCGGAUUUUCUAUGUU